rnacentral:rRNA from 1 species
UUCGCCCUUUUCCGGUUGAUCCUGCCGGACCCGACUGCUAUCAGAGUGGGACUAAGCCAUGCGAGUCAACGUAGCAAUACGUGGCAUACGGCUCAGUAACACGUAGUCAACAUGCCCAGGGGACGAGGAUAACCUCGGGAAACUGAGGAUAAACCUCGAUAGGCCAUGAUUUCUGGAAUGAUUCUUGGCUCAAACCUAUACGGCCCCUGGAUUGGACUGCGGCCGAUCAGGCUGUUGGUGAGGUAAUGGCCCACCAAACCUAUUACCGGUACGGGCUCUGAGAGGAGGAGCCCGGAGAUGGGCACUGAGACAAGGGCCCAGGCCCUAUGGGGCGCAGCAGGCGCGAAACCUCUGCAAUAGGCGAAAGCUUGACAGGGUUACUCUGAGUGAUUUCCGCUAAGGGAAUCUUUUGGCACCUCUAAAAAUGGUGCAGAAUAAGGGGUGGGCAAGUCUGGUGUCAGCCGCCGCGGUAAUACCAGCACCCCGAGUGGUCGGGACGAUUAUUGGGCCUAAAGCAUCCGUAGCCGGUCCUGCAAGUCUUCCGUUAAAUCCAGCUGCUCAACAGAUGGGCUGCGGGAGAUACUACAGGGCUAGGAGGCGGGAGAGGCAAGCGGUACUUUAUGGGUAGGGGUAAAAUCCGCUGAUCCAUAGAAGACCACCAGUGGCGAAGGCGGCUUGCCAGAACGCGCUCGACGGUGAGGGAUGAAAGCUGGGGGAGCAAACCGGAUUAGAUACCCGGGUAGUCCCAGCUGUAAACGAUGCAGACU